rnacentral:rRNA from 1 species
CAGCAGCCGCGGUAAUACAGAGGGUGCAAGCGUUAAUCGGAAUUACUGGGCGUAAAGCGCGCGUAGGUGGUUCGCCAAGUUGGAUGUGAAAUCCCCGGGCUCAACCUGGGAACUGCAUCCAAAACUGGCGAGCUAGAGUAUGGUAGAGGGUGGUGGAAUUUCCUGUGUAGCGGUGAAAUGCGUAGAUAUAGGAAGGAACAUCAGUGGCGAAGGCGACUAUCUGGGCCAACACUGACACUGAGGCACGAAAGCGUGGGGAGCAAACAGGAUUAGAUACCCGCGUAGUCCCUGUCUCUUAUAC